GACGAACGCUGGCGGCGUGCCCAAUACAUGCAAGUAGAACGCUGAAGGAGGAGCUUGCUUCUCUGGAUGAGUUGCGAACGGGUGAGUAACGCGUAGGUAACCUGCCUGGUAGCGGGGGAUAACUAUUGGAAACGAUAGCUAAUACCGCAUAAUAGCAGUUGUUGCAUGACAACUGUUUGAAAGGUGCAAUUGCACCACUACCAGAUGGACCUGCGUUGUAUUAGCUAGUUGGUGGGGUAACGGCUCACCAAGGCGACGAUACAUAGCCGACCUGAGAGGGUGAUCGGCCACACUGGGACUGAGACACGGCCCAGACUCCUACGGGAGGCAGCAGUAGGGAAUCUUCGGCAAUGGACGGAAGUCUGACCGAGCAACGCCGCGUGAGUGAAGAAGGGUUUCGGAUCGUAAAGCUCUGUUGUAAGAGAAGAACGAGUGUGAGAGUGGAAAGUUCACACUGUGACGGUAUCUUACCAGAAAGGGACGGCUAACUACGUG
rnacentral:rRNA from 1 species